rnacentral:tRNA from 1 species
GCGGCUGUAGUUUAGUGGUAAAACUACAGCCUUCCAAGCUGUUGUCGCGAGUUCGAUUCUCGUCACCCGCU